UAAAAAGCAGAGAACGGAAAGAGUAACAGAUUGUGAAAGUUCGCAGAGAGGGAAUGUCGGAGGCUGAAAGCAUUCCUGUACAAAGAUGGUUUGUGAAGUGCGUCCGGGAGCUGAUCGGGUGAAUGAAAAGUAGCCUGAUUCGUUUAGCAUACGUUACAGGCUGUUGAGUGAAAGAAAAAUCUUUUAAUAGAGUGGAACCGCGGAAAAACUUCGUCUCUGAU
rnacentral:ncRNA from 1 species